rnacentral:lncRNA from 1 species
GUCAUUAUUACAAUGAAGGGAAGAAAGGAAGACAUGAAGGGGAAAUGGGACUAUUUACCAAGUGUAUCUGCAUAGACUAAAGGAGACAAGAGGAAGUACUGAGCACCUUGAUUCCUGCAGAAAAUUAAUUAUUUGAGAAGCAUAAGAAUUCUUCCCUAGCUUCUUAUAAGCCUGCUUAUUCAAAGGAUUCAAACAUUUUAACCACAAAGAACAAAACAACCUCAACUGAGAGCAGGCUUGAUUUAGGUUAACUGCAGUGAAUGAAACUAUUGGAUUAUAAUUCCAUGAAGAUAAGAAAAAGCUCCAGAUGGUUUUCAUCCUAUCACCAGGACCUGCACAGUGAAGAACUAGAUAUACUUGCAAAAUUCAAAGAGGAAACCAAACCAAUACAGCCAAGUUCUAUUUGCGGGUCCAGUAGAUCUUCCAAAGAAACGGCAGAAUUGUGAUAGGUAGGUACUUUUAAAACUGGAAAGAGCUG